UUUCUUCCAGCUCAGCCUCCUUCUCAUUCCAUCUCUACGUGCCCAGAGCUUCAAAUACAACCCUCCCAUCACAGUCAGAUGGGCACAAAACUUCAACCCGCCGUUUCUCUGCCUGGAAGCAGUGAAAAUAUAGCCUGGAUGGAAGGGCAGGCCUCUUACGAGGGGCAAUUGCUGUGCUCUGGCAUAUGGGAGACGGUGCUGUUGUCUGGAGAACAAAAGGACAAUUUCAACAACUUCUGCUAAGACUUGGCAAGAAUUUAGGGAGUGACUUCUAAGUGCCGGGUGUUUUCACAGAGAUGCUUACACCUACCUUUCCAACAACCUUGUCAAUGCAGAUUACAUCUCAUGCUGCAGAGUAUCUCAGAAGAUUUUGCUUUGCUAAGGAGCUCACUCUCAAAGGCCAGGAGAAAAGGUCAUAUGGGUCAAGGAAGAGAGGAGGGCAUUUGGAGCAGAGAAACAGCACAUACAAAUGCAAAGGGAUCUGAAGCAGUGUGAGGACCUCAGGAGUCAAUCCAGACUCCAUGCCUGGAUCCCACGGCCCCACAUCCGCCGCAGGGCUUUUGCAUCACAGUUUUGGUGCCUGGGAUGCCGGUCCCCUGGCAGCUGAUUCAGUCUCUCCUUCUCACAGUUGUCUGUUCAGAGACCCCCAACCGACCACCGGAGAGAGAAACCCCCCUGCCCCUCCUCUAUCAUCGUUCAUUCUCUACCUGCUGAAAAUUUCCCCUUAAGCCUUAGCAGCACCCCUGCACCACACACCUUA